GAUGAACGCUGGCGGCGUGCUUAACACAUGCAAGUCGAACGGUAAGGCCCCUUCGGGGGUACACGAGUGGCGAACGGGUGAGUAACACGUGGGCAAUCUGCCCCUGUCACCGGGACAACUCAGGGAAACUUGAGCUAAUACCGGAUACUCCGAGGAGAUCGCAUGGUCACCUCGGGAAAGCUCCGACGGACAGGGAUGAGCCCGCGGCCCAUUAGCUUGUUGGUAGGGUAAUGGCCUACCAAGGCGACGAUGGGUAGCCGAGCUGAGAGGCUGAUCGGCCACACUGGGACUGAGACACGGCCCAGACUCCUACGGGAGGCAGCAGUGGGGAAUUUUGCGCAAUGGGCGAAAGCCUGACGCAGCAACGCCGCGUGCGGGACGAAGGCCUUCGGGUUGUAAACCGCUUUCAGCAGGGAUGAAACUGACAGUACCUGCAGAAGAAGCCCCGGCUAACUACGUGCCAGCAGCCGCGGUAAUACGUAGGGGGCAAGCGUUAUCCGGAUUUAUUGGGCGUAAAGCGCGUGUAGGCGGCUUGUUAAGCGAGAUGUGAAAACCGGGGGCUUAACCCGCGGCCUGCAUCUCGAACUGGCAGGCUUGAGUCUGGUAGAGGAAAGUGGAAUUCCCAGUGUAGCGGUGAAAUGCGCAGAUAUUGGGAGGAACACCAGUGGCGAAGGCGGCCUUCUGGGCCACGACUGACGCUGAGACGCGAAAGCUAGGGGAGCGAACAGGAUUAGAUACCCUGGUAGUCCUAGCCGUAAACGAUGGGCACUAGGUGUGGGGGGUCACCAACUCCCUCCGUGCCGCAGCUAACGCAUUAAGUGCCCCGCCUGGGGAGUACGGCCGCAAGGCUAA
rnacentral:rRNA from 1 species